rnacentral:RNase_P_RNA from 1 species
GCGGCCAGACGAUCGCGUGGCGAAAGCCAUGAGGAAAGUCCGAGCAUCGCAGGGCAGGGUGCCGGCUAACGGCCGGUGAAGGCAACUUCAAGGAAAGUGCAACAGAAAGAAACCGCCCCGCGUUUGCGCGGGGUAAGGAUGGAAAGGCGAGGUAAGAGCUCACCCGCGCCUUGGUAACAAGCGCGCGCUGUAAACCCCACCCGAUGCAAGAUCCGAUCUGGAGCGAUACGGCGGCCCGCCGUGCCCCUAAAGAGAUCGCUGGAGCGGCGCGGCAACGCGCAGCGUAGAUAGAUGAUCGUCCAACGACAGAACUCGGCUUACGACCGCGC